rnacentral:rRNA from 1 species
ACUAACUGGAGGACCGAACCGACUAAUGUUGAAAAAUUAGCGGAUGACUUGUGGCUGGGGGUGAAAGGCCAAUCAAACCGGGAGAUAGCUGGUUCUCCCCGAAAGCUAUUUAGGUAGCGCCUCGUGAAUUCAUCUCCGGGGGUAGAGCACUGUUUCGGCAAGGGGGUCAUCCCGACUUACCAACCCGAUGCAAACUGCGAAUACCGGAGAAUGUUAUCACGGGAGACACACGGCGGGUGCUAACGUCCGUCGUGAAGAGGGAAACAACCCAGACCGCCAGCUAAGGUCCCAAAGUCAUGGUUAAGUGGGAAACGAUGUGGGAAGGCCCAGACAGCCAGGAUGUUGGCUUAGAAGCAGCCAUCAUUUAAAGAAAGCGUAAUAGCUCACUGGUCGAGUCGGCCUGCGCGGAAGAUGUAACGGGGCUAAACCAUGCACCGAAGCUGCGGCAGCGACGCUUAUGCGUUGUUGGGUAGGGGAGCGUUCUGUAAGCCUGUGAAGGUGUACUGUGAGG